AGACAGCAGUCGCCACGGGAAUACAGAGGGUGCAAGCGUUAAUCGGAAUUACUGGGCGUAAAGCGCGCGUAGGUGGUUCGCCAAGUUGGAUGUGAAAUCCCCGGGCUCAACCUGGGAACUGCAUCCAAAACUGGCGAGCUAGAGUAUGGUAGAGGGUGGUGGAAUUUCCUGUGUAGCGGUGAAAUGCGUAGAUAUAGGAAGGAACAUCAGUGGCGAAGGCGACCACCUGGACUGAUACUGACACUGAGGUGCGAAAGCGUGGGGAGCAAACAGGAUUAGAUACCCCAGUAGUCCCUGUCUCUUAUAC
rnacentral:rRNA from 1 species